GACGAACGCUGGCGGCGUGCCUAAUACAUGCAAGUUGAGCGAUGAAGCUUGGUGCUUGCACCCAUUUGAAGAGCAGCGAACGGGUGAGUAACGCGUGGGGAAUCUGCCUUUGAGCGGGGGACAACAUCUGGAAACGAAUGCUAAUACCGCAUAACAACUUUAAACAUAAGUUUUAAGUUUGAAAGAUGCAAUUGCAUCACUCAAAGAUGAUCCCGCGUUGUAUUAGCUAGUUGGUGAGGUAAAGGCUCACCAAGGCGAUGAUACAUAGCCGACCUGAGAGGGUGAUCGGCCACAAUGGGACUGGGACAAGGCCCAAACUCCUACGGGAGGCAGCAGUAGGGAAUCUUCGGCAAUGGACGAAAGUCUGGCCGAGCAACGCCGCGUGAGGGAAGAAGGGUUUCGGAUCGUAAAACUCUGUUGGUAGAGAAGAAAGUUGGUGAGAGUGGAAAGCUCAUCAAGUGACGGUAACUACACAGAAAGGGACGGCUAACUACGUG
rnacentral:rRNA from 1 species